UACGUAGGGUGCAAGCGUUGUCCGGAAUUAUUGGGCGUAAAGGGCUCGUAGGCGGCCAACUAAGUCGGAUGUGAAAUCCCCAGGCUUAACCUGGGAACUGCAUCCGAUACUGGAUGGCUUGAAUCCGGGAGAGGGAUGCAGAAUUCCAGGUGUAGCGGUGAAAUGCGUAGAUAUCUGGAGGAAUAUCGGUGGCGAAGGCGGCAUCCUGGACCGGCAUUGACGCUGAGUGAGCGAAAGCCAGGGGAGCAAACGGG
rnacentral:rRNA from 1 species